rnacentral:tRNA from 1 species
GUAAAACAAAACUGUCCUCCAAAAAGAAUCUAAAGACCGAUGAGGGAGAAAUUGAAGAAUCGUGAAAUCUGCGUGGACUGCCUCUGGGUCCUCCACGGAUUUAUACUCGGCCUGGUAUUCAAACGAAUUUGAUACAGGCCGGGAAAGGUGGCUCGGCCUGUGUUGGAUGUUCGAUAUUUUAAAACAGCCAAAUGUUCCACGUAGCCCUCUUUGCUGCGGCACUGGCGAAAACUACAGGCAUCAUUAAAGUAUUGGAUUUAAAAUGAGUCGAAUAUAAUAAGCGACAGCAGCAGGAACCGGAGGGACCCCUUUUGCCCAGAGGAUACCAAGGAGACCCUCUUUUGCCGAGAGGACACCAGAGAAGCGCUAAGGCGAAAGGGCUUGCGAGGAAAGAGCGCGCAGGAGCAUCGGAGCAGAGGGGAGGGCGGGUCCUAGGGUUCCCAGGUGAAUUCGAAGCACUGGUCAUUUGUCACGAGCCAAAAACGCUGACCACCGGGCCGUGAAAAAGGUCUCGGAAGCGCGAGUCCACAGCCUCCGUGGGGCGAAGUCCGGACUCCUGGGCGGCGGCGGGCGCCCGGGGCUCAGACGCGCCCCACCCGCCGGCUCCUGCAGCUUCCGGGAGCUGCGAUCAGCGGGGGCGACUCCUGCACAGGAGCGCCUAGUCCUGGGAGUGGAAAUCCUGCGUGUGAUGCGGGACCCCGAAGUCAAACUGUGGGGUCCCAGGGCCCUGGCUUCGGGGGUAGGCGCGGAACCCUGAGCCAGGGCCUCUCCGGAGCCGCAGUCUCCUUGCCUGAGGGGUCGCUGGUACUUUCCAGUUCAAAACAGUGGGCGUCUAGAAUGAUUGUGGCAAGACCUAAGGUUUUCAUGGAUAUGUUGUUACGUUCUCCAACGCCCCUCCGUUCUGUAGUGUAGUGGUUAUCACGUUCACCUCACACGCGAAAGGUCCCCGGUUGGAAACCGGGCGGAAACAACCUCUUUUUCCUCAAACUUACCUUCAUGUCGCCAAAUCAAACAGAGGAGGGGACCGGGCGUGGAGGUGCGGCCGCAGCCAAUUUUCCAUUCACGAGAAACGUGGCACAACUUGAGUUACUCAGCCCUAGGAAACAGGCCUCGUUGGUCUGCUCUCAGUCACAAUGGAGACCGCAACACAGUCAGUGAGUCCAAGGGGGGUGCAGGACUAGGCUGACAUCAGCCUACUUUGAGAUCCAGAGAGCCCCUAACCUUCUCCUCUGUCGCCGAAAUCUUCUCUGCAGGCUGACAGGCACUGCACACUUGCUCCGAAGAUCUGUUGGGAUAAAUGUUGUGUCCAACUGUAAAGGCAAGAGGAGAGGGAGAGCCUGGGAAGGCUAGGAACUGAUUGCUGUGCUCACCUUUGACCACCCAGCUCACCUGUGACCACCCAGCUUGAGACAACAGACCUGCCACCCUGCUGUGUUCACCGAGACAGCAACCCACCUACUGUGUCCAUCAAUCGCUGUGCCGACAGAGCAGUCCCGCGACUAUUGUAAAAGGACAUUUCAGUCAUAUGUGAUACAUCCUCUUUGGGGGUAUAUAACCACUCUGUACACCCUACUUCUUUGGUGCCCUUUCUUCCUUUGGGAAGAAAGGCCCUGGGCCAUGGUCCUCACAUUUUAGCUCAGAAUAAACUCUCCCAAAUUUUCAUUUAUAGAUUGGUUAUGGA